rnacentral:rRNA from 1 species
AUGAGAUUUCCCAACUUCGGUUAUAAGAUCCCUCAAAGAUGAUGAGGUUAAUAGGUUCGAGGUGGAAGCAUAGCGAUAUGUGGAGCUGACGAAUACUAAUCGAUCGAAGACUUAAUCAAAUU